GACGUAGGGUGCGAGCGUUGUCCGGAUUUAUUGGGUUUAAAGGGUGCGUAGGCGGUCUAUUAAGUCAGUGGUGAAAGCCCCAAGCUCAACUUGGGAACUGCCAUUGAUACUGAUGGACUUGAGUACAUUUGAGGUGGGCGGAAUGUGUCAUGUAGCGGUGAAAUGCUUAGAUAUGACACAGAACACCGAUUGCGAAGGCAGCUCACUAAACUGUAACUGACGCUGAGGCACGAAAGCGUGGGGAGCAAACAGG
rnacentral:rRNA from 1 species